GGCCCCUGUCUGCUCGGUUUUGGGUUGGGGUGACCGCGGAGCAUAAAAUANCCUCCACGAAAGAAGGGAUGAUUCCCUCAUUUUAGAACUACACUUCCAAAGACUAACAAAUUAAUUUUAAGUGAUCCGAUACCCGUAUUCGAUCAACGAACCAAGUUACCCUGGGGAUAACAGCGCANUCUACCUCAAGAGCCCCUAUCGACAGGUGGGUUUACGACCUCGAUGUUGGAUCAGGGUAUCCCAGUGGUGCAGCAGCUACCAAAGGUUCGUUUGUUCAACGAUUAAAACCCU
rnacentral:rRNA from 1 species